GCAUCCCUAGCUCAAUUGGAUAGAGCACCUGACUACGGAUCAGGAGGUUGCAGGUUCGACUCCUGCGGGGUGUGCCA
rnacentral:tRNA from 3 species